UACGUAGGGUGCAAGCGUUGUCCGGAAUUAUUGGGCGUAAAGAGCUCGUAGGCGGUUUGUUGCGUCGGCUGUGAAAACCUGAGGCUCAACCUCAGGCCUGCAGUCGAUACGAGCAGACUAGAGUGUUGCAGGGGAGACUGGAAUUCCUGGUGUAGCGGUGAAAUGCGCAGAUAUCAGGAGGAACACCGGUGGCGAAGGCGGGUCUCUGGGCCGAUACUGACGCUGAGGAGCGAAAGCGUGGGGAGCGAAUGGG
rnacentral:rRNA from 1 species